rnacentral:rRNA from 1 species
CCUACGGGUGGCAGCAGUGGGGAAUAUUGCACAAUGGGCGCAAGCCUGAUGCAGCCAUGCCGCGUGUGUGAAGAAGGCCUUCGGGUUGUAAAGCACUUUCAGCGGGGAGGAAGGCGGUGAGGUUAAUAACCUCAUCGAUUGACGUUACCCGCAGAAGAAGCACCGGCUAACUCCGUGCCAGCAGCCGCGGUAAUACGGAGGGUGCAAGCGUUAAUCGGAAUUACUGGGCGUAAAGCGCACGCAGGCGGUCUGUCAAGUCGGAUGUGAAAUCCCCGGGCUCAACCUGGGAACUGCAUUCGAAACUGGCAGGCUAGAGUCUUGGAGAGGGGGGUAGAAUUCCAGGUGUAGCGGUGAAAUGCGUAGAGAUCUGGAGGAAUACCGGUGGCGAAGGCGGCCCCCUGGACAAAGACUGACGCCCAGGUGCGAAAGCGUGGGGAGCAAACAGGAUUAGAUACCCCGGUAGUC